AUAUUUUUAACAAUUUUGCGUUUACAAUCAUUUUGAUGCUAAGUCACCAGUGACAAAAUCCUAUAAAACUUAAUAAAAAAGAAUUAAACAUAGAAGUCAAUGCUAUCCUAUGUUAUUAUGUAAUAAAAGUUAGGACAUUAAACUUUAAUAAAUUUCAAAAUAAAAGAAUUGAUUGAUUAUAAAAUAGAGACUAAAUUAUAAGUAUCUAUUAUUACAUGAGUAAAAAAACUAACUCAUGGUUUAGUUCCACACUCACUCUUCAACCAUAAUAAUUAUCAACCCAACUUUUAAACUCACCAAAAAAAAGUGUUUAUUAACCUAAUUUAACAACCCUGGUGGAUUUUUGGCAGAUAAGACAAAGAGGUGUGGCCAAUGCAACGAGAGGGUCGAAAAAUUAAAGGCGGCCAUGCAGUGUCCUUUGUUAUCUAACUACACGUGUCCAUCAUGAACAAGAGAAGCACGCAGUUUGUGGUGAUCUGUAGGGUCAAGUUAUCACAUCUUCAAGAAGAGAGGGAGGAAUUGAAUUAAAAUGUAAAAUAGAUUAAAAGAAGGAUAAAUUAUAAGAUUCCCUCGGGGUCAAGACUAACGGAGGAGGUAUUCACGGACGGCAUGGCACCGUUAGCUGAUGAAACGGGUUUGUUUUGUUUGGCCGCCGUGUUCAACCAGGUUGCCGUUAAAUACUACGGUUAACACGCUCUCCCCCCAAUUCCUCAAAAAAGUUUAACAUAAAAAAUUUCUUUAUUUUCUGUUAAUUUUAUUUCGGUAAAAUGUGUUUUAACUAAUUAAAGAUUAUGUCUGAAAGAAAAGUUUGGAAAUUAAUUUGUUUUUGGUGAUUUUAAAGGUAAUAAAUGAACAAAAAUAUUUAGUAAAUAUUUUAACUCUGUUGUUUACAAUAAUUUUUAAAAAAUUUAUCAUUUUUAUUAUAAAUUUAAAACUAAAAAAGAUAAAUUAAAAAAUUAAAAAAGAAAGUAAAAAUAAUUAUCAAACAAUUUAUAUUUUAGUGGAUGAAAUUUUAAAAAUAAACUUUGAUAGUUGAGUUACUUCUAACGAAAAUAUGACGUAGAUAUAAUAGUCACAUGUAUAAAGAUAUUUUUAAAAAAUAUAUAAUAUUUAAAUGUAUCUUAAGUUACACUCAUCUUUUAAAAAAUUUCAGUUGUGGUAGUUAAAGUACAUGCAGGCCAUGCAUGCACUCAAGUAUCGCUCAAAAUUAAAAUCUUCUUCCUUUUUAACCACUUUCUCAUUCCCUUCCCCUCCCCGAGCAAGGUUUGCAGGUGCCACGUCCAUUUUCAAUGAACAUCUCCACCACCGCCGUCGUCCUCUUUUCUCUUCACUCCCCCUCGCUCUUUUCCCAUCCAUUUUCAAUUCUGUCCAUCUCUCUUUCUUCCUUCUAUUAAUUUUUCUUUUUCCUCUUAGAAAAAAUCACUUCAAGUCAUCAUCUUCUCUUCACUUAUGCCAGUUAUCCCAAAUCCAGAACAACGGGGGAUCUAAAUGAUUCUUCAAAAAAUAGGCCUUUUUGUUGAUUAGAAGGCAUACAACAAAGUUUAGGAGGAAGGUGUGGAAACAAUGAUACAGUUCGCCGGACCGAGGUGGCGGCAAUAUAAUCCGACAACAGAGGAAAUGAGAUAAGGGAAAAAGAGUAUUAGGGAGGGUUGAAGAAAGAUAGAGAUUUAUUGGCCUUCCGGUGAGUGGUAACAACUCAGAUCUUGCCGACAUUGACUCAGUCCUCCGGUAACUAUUCCCCUGAAAUUAUGCUAAUUUUUCAGCUUAAUUAAUUUUGUGAUGGAAGGGAAGGGGAUAAUUUUAUGGCUUGUUAGGGUUUUUUUUCCAUCUUCCUCUUCUAUUCCAAUGAUCAUUGAAGCUAAAGACUGGGUUGUUCUCUACUUUCAUCUACUUUCCCCCAUUUUUGAAAGCUGGGUGUUUAUGCUGCCAUGAAAGAGCAGCAGGGUUUUACAAGGGAGAUCUUUAAUUCAGAUGGGCUUUUAAUUGUUGAGUAUAAUUUUGUACUAAAUUUCAGCUACGAUCUGUUUGAGCUGAAACAUAAAACUAGUUUUUUUUCCUCUUUUUUUGGGGGGGGCGAGUGGGGGUUUCACAGAUACUCCAUGAAUUUUCUAAAUUUAUCGCGUUUUCUCACCGUGAACAGAGAAUUAGAUUAAGAAACGAAGGCGUACCUUUGCAAGGAAAGGAAGCUGGGAUUUCUGGAACAAGAGGGCAAAAAUCGGCUCUUCUGCUUGAGUGGUGGAAACCAAUCAAAUGGAUUCCGGCCAACCUGAGGGAAAUAAGGCCGAUGUCCAAGGUAGUUCUUGGAUUCCAGCGAC
rnacentral:lncRNA from 1 species